GCAAAAUAAGAUAGAGUUAUGAGAAAAACAUAAGAUAAAAAAUGAAAUCAUAUUUUAGUAGACUUUUUAUUAAGUCUACGUAAAGUUACUCUUUAGUAGACUUUAGUUGAAGUCUACACUAAUGGAAAAUUUUCAUAUCUAAAAGUGUGCAUUUAGAAAAUUUGAAAAUACUUUGUUCUGAAAAAUAUUUCAAAAAUGGUUUUUUGUCAUCCUUGUAAAAAAGCAAAAAGAUAAUGUAUGAAUCUAUAAAUUUAGUUCAUUAUAAACACAAAAUAUCUUAUAAUGAAUAUAUGGAAAGAUUACAUUUUUGUGAAGAUGAUUUGAAAACAUUGGAAGAGAAUACCUGCAAAAUAAAAUAAAAUUAUAAAAAAUAAGAUAAAAAUUAAAAUCAUAUUUGAG
rnacentral:lncRNA from 1 species